UACCAGUGUGCCAGGAGAUAAGGAAAUGGGAGCUAACAACAGAGUCAAAGAGUGAAGGAUAUCCCUCAAGGUUGAAGAGGAAAGUUGCAAACCAAGCCCUAAGAAAACUCUCACGAUGCUGCCGUUCACGUGCAUCAGGGGCUCCAAACCUCACAGUCCAGAAUCUCUUACAGAAUGCAAUCUAACUCCCUCCAGCUGUUCCAGCUCAGAGCUAGAUUUGUCCCUAGAAAAGAAGAACUCGUCAGAAAAUACUGCUUUUGCUCCGUGCUAAGAGGCACCCAUGUUUACAGGGUCACUCACAGCAGAAUCCCCCUUGGCUUCAAAGAGAAGCUGUGUUUCGAGAGCAGCUUGCUCAGAUCUAAGGUCCAGCGUGCCAUGGGAUCACGGGACCGAGAUUUUAGACUCUUUUCUAAGCAACUGUUAUGAUGGCCUUUAGCCACAAGCUCUUAGUGCCGGAUAGACUUUAUUAGUCCUCUCUGCCAGACUUAAGGAAGGGAAACUAAAUUUGUUGGCAUUCUCCA